rnacentral:misc_RNA from 1 species
UCACUAGCGUGUAGGCUUCUGUCCUUGCUAUCUACCCAUUGUCUUUUGCGUCACCGUAUUGUUUCCUCGGCGGGUCUUGCCUGCCGAUUGGACAAUUAUCAAAACCAUUUUGUAGUUGCAAUCAGCGUCAUGAAAAACAAUUAAUUAGUUA